UCCGAGUUGACCCCGGCAGUCUCCUACGAGUCCCCGGCAUUACCCGCUGGCAACAUAGGACAAGGGUUGCGCUCGUUGCGGGACUUAACCCAACAUCUCACGACACGAGCUGACGACAGCCAUGCAGCACCUGUGCUGGCUACCCUUGCGGGUUCAUUGCCGUUUCCGGUUCUUAAAACCAGCAUGUCAAGCCUGGGUAAGGUUCUUCGCGUUGCCUCGAAUUAAACCACACGCUCCGCUGCUUGUGCGGGCCCCCGCCUAUUCCUUUGAGUUUUAACCUUGCGGCCGUAGUCCCAGGCGGGGUGCUUAAUGCGUUAGCUUCGGCACGGACGGGGUUGAUAUCCGCCCACACCUAGCACCCAACGUUUACGGCUAGGACUAC
rnacentral:misc_RNA from 1 species